rnacentral:lncRNA from 1 species
AAUUUGGGAACGAGAUGCCCGGGGAUGCAACCAGCCCCGCGCUCGGAGGCGGCGGUCGGAGUUCCGUGCGCAGAGGGCACACAAAAGCCUCGAGGAUCAUUGCCUCGACCCCAUCCCCCACCGCGCGGCGACGCCCCCUACGGGCUGGGACACCUCCACUCUCGGACUGCUGCCGGGUUUCCCUCCGGCUGCGACCCUGGAGGUGGGAAGGAGAGAGGGAGGGAGGGAGGAAGGAGCGAGGGCGGGAGGCAGGCCGGUGGGGAGGAGCGGGAGAUCAGGUUAUUAGGAGGAUUAUUAAUUUGAAUGGCAGUUUAGGGGAAAUAAAAAAAAGAAACUCCAGACACUUCCAGACGCCGAGAAGGGGCUGGAGAAAGCAGGCAGCAACGCUAGGCCGCGGGGCAGAGCCGCGGUUCGGACUCUCUCUUCCCCGGCGCUCCGAGCUGCGGAAGCCCAGGCCGUCCGCCGCUCCCCGGCGCACGCGGCCGCGCCUCGCCGCCCUCCCCGGUAACUCUCCUCGGGGCGGAGCCUUCGGGCUUCCCCCACUACCGGUACCUGCCGCGGGCGCCCGAGCUGCGGGCACGGGGUAUCCUGAGGCUGUGCACCCGGGACCCCGGCGCGCACUGUCCGCGGGCCACGCGGUGAGGGUGGCUGCGGGCGAGAGGGCUCAUGCUUCAGGGGAAGCCCAAGGCCCGCCAGCCGCGGCGGCUGCGACGAGACUUGGCAAGAGUUAAACGUCGGUCCCAGGAGCAGCGAGUGCGCGCGACUUCCCAGACCGACGCGCCUCCCUUGCUCCCCGCCUCCCUCCCCAGUCAGCGCUCCGCUCGCGCCCCGCCCGGCUGCUGCGGAGGCGGCUUUCCAGGAACUUUCCAGGAAUCGGCCUCACGUGACCGCGGGCCCCGCUACUGCUUUAAAGAGGCUCGGUCGCAAUACACAGGCUUCAGGGAAGACCGGGUGAGAGCGCUCGGGUGCAGGGCGGGCGGUGUGCACGCCGGGGUCGGCCUGCCUCUGGCCCCACACCCCGGGGUGCUCGGGCGCAAGCUAGAGAUCUCCCCGGCCACCGGCUACAGCCAACCCCGUUUCGGCGGCCGGAGCCUGCCCCCUACCCGGGCCAGCUGAGCGCCCGGGUUCAGGGAAGGAUAGCGAUCCUUGGCCCUUGGCCUGCCACGGGGGUGGGUUCCUCUAAACAUCCCGGCGGCGCCCCCUCGAUGCGACCCUCCUGGCCGCACUUUUGCGGGGGGUGGGCGUGCAGGAGCGACUGUGGGUCCUCGGAAACCAGACUCUCCGGCUCUAAGACACAUCGAUGGCGUGGGGACGCCGUGCUCGUCCCGGUGCCCACGGCCGGGGACCGGAGGCGGUCCCCUUGAUCAGGUCCUGGAAGGCAGCGAGCGGGAGAGCAGCGCCUCCUUAAGCGGCGCCGGCCGUCCUUAGUCCCCUCCCCCUGGCGCUCCGGCUCCUUGUCACCCGCACCCACCCGGCUCCUCCCUUCCUCCUCCCCUCUGCUCCAACGUCUCCGGUAGACCCGGCGGCCCGCCCGGGUCACCUGCGCCGGCUGCUAAGGGGGCGCCCUUACCUGCGCGCCCGGAAGGGGCUUGGUGACUGGCCUCGGUUCCCUCAGUCCGGAGAGUGUCUCUGCCAUUCCCUGCAGGGCUGACGCCCCAGGGCUGGGAUUCGGAAGGAUCUCGGCACCUCUACCCUACCUGGGAUUCUCACCUCCAACCCCGUUGGAGGCCCCCUGGCCUUAGUGGAAACUCAUCUCCUUGUCUGCGCACCCGCCCCCGAAAUAUGACCUACUUGAAAUGUGACCUACUUUUUAAAAGAAACCCUUAACAAUCACGGGAAAACCGGAUCCAAAAUUUCGAUAAGCAUUUUUCUUUGAAAUACUAUUCUAUUGCAUCACUGCUCGAAAGCUUGAAAGGUCAAUGGCCACUUUUAGUUGAGGCCGCGGCUAUGGGAAGUUGGGCGAGGAAGGGGGAGGGGUGGGAGGGAGGCGCGUCUUGCAAACUUUGCCUGGUGCCCCCCCUGCCGGCUCUGGGAGGAAACGGGAACCAGCUCCCAACCUUGGGGUCUGCAGCCGGGGACCAAUGGUUUUCUCAAUAAUUUUCCUGCUUUUGAGUACAUAAUUCUAUGCAGAUGAUAAGCAGAUGAGUCGGGGAGGGGGGCAUUUCCCAGCUAACAAAGAGCUUUGUUAACGCUGGAGCCGUGUGCCCUUAAUCAUGUUUCGUUUUUUAGAAAGAGCCUUUUAUAGUGUGGGCGGAGCUAACUGAACCCUAGUUAAAAUCCUCUACAAAGUAGUUGAAUAAUUUUGCACAAGGCACUUACCCUCUUUGGACCUCUGGCCCUUUUUAUAACAUGAAGGGCUAGAUUCGGGUUCUGGGUGAGGGACUGGGAUAAAGGAACAAAUCAGAUUCCAUGUGAAGCCUGUGUACAGUCUGAGGCCCCAAGCCUUUUAAGAACCACUAUGUCUACUAGGGUUAACUGCCCUCUAAAUUGUCCUAAUAUGGCUUCUUAUUCCUUGAUGGAGAAUCCUAGAGGAAGGGUGUACCCACACUUUAGCUUAAAUAAAAAGGUAUUUAUUCCUAAAACUGACGGAGGGCGGGGAGGGAGCAUGACCAAGUCUCCCUCUGUCGCCCAGGCUGGAGUGCAGGGCGUGAUCUCAGCUCACUGCAACCUCCGCCUCCCAGGUUCAAGCAAUUCUCCUGCCUCAGCCUCCCGAGAAGCUGGGAUUACAGGCGCCCACCACCACGCCCGGCUAGUUUUUGUAUUUUUAGUAGAGACGGGGUUUCGCCCUGUUGGUCAGGCUGGUCUCGAACUCCUGGGUUCAACCGAUCCUCCUGCCUCGGCCUCUCAAAGUGCCGGGUUUACAGGCGUGAGCCACCCCUCCUGGCCCUAACAUUUUUAUACAGUAAGUUUAAUAUUUACUUGAUAGUGGGUUGAAAUGAAUCUUCCAGCAACUCCUUUUUUAUGUGCUUUCCUGUUGCCUUGGUGCAUGCUGUUCCCUCUUCCUAGAAUGCUCCAACCCUGAUGGCUGCAUCAUACUUGAUUAAAAGAAUCCUGGCCGGGCGCGGUGGCUCACGCCUGUAAUCCCAGCACUUUGGGAGGUUGAGGCGGGUGGAUCACUUGAGGUCAGGAGUUCAAGACCAGCCUGGCCAACAUGGUGAAACACCGUCUUUACUAAAAAUACAAAAAUUAGCCGGGUGUGGUGGUGCAUGCCUGUAAUCCCAGCUACUAGGGAGACUGAGGCAGGAGAAUCGCUUGAACCCGGGAGGUGGAGGUUGCAGUGAGCCGAGACGGUGCCACUGCACUCCAGCCUGUUUACCUCUCUGACCUCAUUUCCUCCUGCUCUGUUCUUUGAUCACUCUGUUCAAGUUACACUGGACUCCUUGCUAAUUCUAGAACUCAUUAGCCUUGCCCCUGCUUCAGGGUCUUUGUAUUUGCUGUCUCCUCUACCUCUCAUGCUCUCCUUUUAGAUAGCUGCAAGGUUUACUCCCUCACUUCCUCAAAUCUUUAUUUAAUGCCGCUUUCUUAGUGAGACCUUGCCUGUUGGCUCACUCAGAAUUGACCUUCCCCCUGCACAUUUCUCUUUCCUCCCUGCUCUAGUUUUUUCCUUAAUCAUGUUCACCAUCUAACCUAGUUUAUGUCUUAUUUCUCCAGCUUACUUUCUCCCCAACUCUGCUUCAUGUAUUUGUACUUGCAUUGUUCACAGCUGUAGUUCAGCACCUUGAACAUAGUUCUUAGCAUGUAGUAGGCAUCCAAUAUAAUCAUUGAAUGAAUGGAUGGAUGAAUGAAUGGAUGGAUGAAUGAAUGAAUGCAUUAGCACCAUGGCUUUAAAGUUAAGCUGUCCAGGUAUGAAUCCUCACUCUGCCACCACUUGCUACAUAUGUGAUCUUUGGCAAUUUAUUUAGCCUCUUCUGGAGAUGAUCAUGGUCCCUACCUUACAGGGCUGUUGUGAGAAUUAAUUGAGCUAAUCUAUGAAAAGUGCUUUGGAACUUAGCAAAUACUUAAUAACAAUUAGCUGUUAUUUCAACUGUCAUCCUUUUACUCUCGGUGAGUUUGGAUUUUUCUGUCUAUGGAUAAGAUUGUCUUACAUUUGCCUAUGUAAAAUUCAAUGGUCACCUCCACCCCCACCAAACCUCCCAUCCUGUGGCUUCCAGAGAACUUCAUGUAGUUGGUUCCCUGGAGCGCCCUUUCGGCUUUAAAAUUUACAGGUUUCCAAAGUGAUUCCAUUUGUUCCUAGAUUUUCAGACCAUAUCUAUUCAGUGUGGCAGAUUCAUGGCUGCAGUGAUGAACGGUUAUUCUCCAUGAGGAGCGAAGGGAGAAGAUUUUCACAAAGCUGGAGCAUUUCCUCCACUGCCUGCACUGAGGAGUUGCCAAGGCUUGAAAAUCUCUUCUGUGUGCCAAACCAGAACUGGACAUUUCUGGUUUUGCAAUGCAGACGUUCUAGUACUGGAAUUAACAAAUGCUCCACACUGAGCUACUGCCAAAUUGCCAGGAGAGUUUUUCAGUGUUUGUUUGGGGGAUAGGGUAACAAUAGGAUGGCCUUUGGAGAUUGUGUCUGACACACCUGUGGGCAGAAGGUAGGCUUUAAGUAUCCACCAUCUCUUCCUUUUAGAGUUUGCCAUCUCCGUACCACCACCACCACCACACACAGCACCCUCAAGACUCCCUGUGAUCCUGGGAUGCACUCAACGAAGAGUGUGUGGCCCAGGAUUUGAUGGAAAUGCUACAAGAGAAGCAGGCUCUCCCCUUCUGAAAUGAUGAGUGAUAAUGACCAUACAGGUCAACUUUUCCACCACUUGGAGGGAGCCUGUCAAAGAACAAAGGCAACAGAGAAGAGAGCAGAGCUGAGGUUGGGUGAGAGGGAGAAAUUCCUGAGUGCUUGAAUCCCACAUGCCGGAAGCCGCACCACACUUGGACUUCUCAAUACAGGAGCCAGUGAGUUUAUUUUUUCCUGACCUGGUUGGAUUUGGGCAUUCUCAAGAGUUUGGGGGUUGGGUGGGGGGCAUUUAGGGGAGAGAGCAGAAUGCAGAAUUGAGAAGGGGAAGAAGAGAGCUGCCUUCCACUUUAAUGAGCAUCUCCUACUUUUCCUCUGGUGCUUCUCAGCACUAAGUCCCUUUUACAAUAUACUGCUUGCUCCAUCCCCAUAAUGGAGGACACUCACUGGUAGACAAAGGAAGAGGGAGAGGAGCAGAGCUGAUGCCACUGGCAUUAGUGCUCUGGGCCCAGGAUGGGGCAGGGAGCAGUGAGGCAGAUGGCUUUCUCCUGGACUUCUGGGACCCAAGAACAUGGUAAAUGUCCAUGCCGUCUGUCUUUCCGCCCACAGAAUGGAGGGGAAACAUGUUCUAGGACAGCAGUCAUCAAUCUUAUUUAAGACAUGAAUCAAUCAGAAAUUCCGGUAGAAUCUAGAGACCAGAGGUCACAAACCACCUGCCUAUCGGGACCAUAUUUGACUCACUCAGAGUGUUCUGGUUGGUAUGCCAGGAUUCUCUAAAGAAAAUGUGAACUAAAUUGAGAUUUCAUCUCCAAAGAGAACCAGAUUUCUGCUUUCUCUUAAUCAGCCAUAAGGUCUGUCAAUACUGGGUCCCAUUUCCUCAAGGCAGUGAUCAACUGAAGCAGAGGAGUGAGUGCCUGCCUUAGAAGGCAUGUGCCCUCCCGUUUGCCCAAUCCUCACCCGCCCCAAGGUCUCCCCAACACUGAGCAUUGCUUGCCUUUUGUCAUCACCCUUGCAUUACUGUUUCUUAUGGUGGAGAGAUAUUUAUUUGGACCCAAGUCUCUACCAGAAGUGACGAAAUAAAAGACAGACCCAGAAGGCUGAAUAUGUCAGAAUAAAAGGGAGAAGGCAUAUUUCUCUGUGGAAGAAAAUAAUAUUCCUCUGUGUUUAAGAGACUGGGUUCUCACACCUGAUGUAUUUCAUUCUUCUAUAUUCCCACCUAGCUCUGCAGGCAUUUAUUGGCAGGCUACACCUAAGACUUUCUCUGCAGAAAAAUGUUCUAGAUGCACAGAUUUGGGGGCUUGAUUGACAACCUGACACCUCACUCUAAAUCCGCAUGGGUCUGUUGACCUCAGGUGAGAACACUUGUUCUAAGGGAGUGGAAGGUCUUUAUUAAGAUAACCCUGAGAAAUAAAAGUCUGCCUUGAGCAUUGUAUGGGACUCUUUUUUGUUUGUUUGUUUGUUUUUAUUUUGAGACACUGUCUCUGUCACCCAGGCUGGGGUGCAGUGGCACAAUCUCGGCUCAUUGCAACCUCAAACUCCUGGGCUCAAGCAGUUUUCCCACUUCAGCCUCCCUAGUUGCUGGGACCACAGGUGUGCACCACAACACCUGGCUAAUUUUUGUACUUUUGUAGAGACAGGAUCUCCUUUUAUUGCUCAGGUUGGUGUCAAACUCCCCCGCUCAAGUGAUCCUCCCACCUCAGCUUCCCAAAGUGUUAGGAUUACAAGCGUGAGCCACUGCACCUGGCUGGGACUCUCUUUAUUGGAAUUGGUUUGUAUAGUCAGAGGAUCAUCAAUCAAUAAGACUUUGGUGCUGGGAAGGACACUAUUUUACUCGUUAGAGCCAUGGUGCUCUAACCUUCUGGCUUCCUUAUUUCCCAAACACAACAAUCCUGCCUCAGGGCCUUUGUACCUGUUGUUCUCUUUGAAAUGCUCUUUCCCCAGUAGUCCCAUGUCGCUGCUCCCUCACUCCAUUCAUGUCUUUGCUCUGAGUGGCUUUCCCUCCCCACUUUAUGUAAAAUAGAAGCCCCACCAGUGACCAUUUCUUCCUCCUGCUUUAUUUUUUUAUCCUAACACUUUACUCUUCUCUGACCAUAUAAUGGUUACUCAUUUAUUUGUUUACUGCCUUUCUUCCCACUGUGAUAUAAGCAGGGACUUUGUUAUAUUCACCCCUCUAUCCUCAGUGCCUACAACAGCUUCUGGCCCAAUAUAAAGUUAUUGAAUGAAUAAAUAAAUAAAUGAAUCUAAUGCGUCUGUAAGUGAGGGAACCGAAACAUUUUUGCCACCUUCUUUCUGCCCUGGAUCCACUUUUUUUUAUCUUCCCCUACUUGGAUGUGCUUCCCAGCUUACUCUUUGGCUUACCCUUCAGACUCUGGUGUGCUACCAAGAAGAGCUUGGCUUUCUUGAAGUUCCUGCUUAAUCUCCAUGAGCCUGGCCCCAAAACAAUAGUACCUAGUAGCAUGAGAGAGAUUCAUCAAGUCAACAAACAUGCAUGAGUACUUACAAUGUUCCAGGCCUCGUAGAACCCACUAGGGGGACUCAGCCUUCCUCUUAAAGAGGUCUAGUUCUAGUGAGAGAGAAACCAUCAACAGAUAAUUCUAACAAAGGGUGAGAAGUCACGGGAGAGUGCACAGAAUGGUUUUGCAAACAGCCAGAAGCACCACUGUAAUCACCUUGGGAUGUCCAGAAAGGCAUCACAGUAGAGGGGACCCGGAUGGAGCCCCCUAACGUCUCUGAAUUUUUGUUUUCCCAUCCAUGUCAUGAGAAAUUUGGACUGGAUGAGCUAUUAAGUUUCCUUCUCAUUUGAAUCACUUCCAACCUCUUUUCCAUGACCUUGCAAAGAGCAGUUGAUGGUGUUAUUAGACCUAAGCCUGGUCAGCCUCUAGGUAUGUUUGACUUUCCAGAGAGGUUCACAAAGGUCAAGGCCUGGUGUGAUGAUGUGGUAAGCAGAGCAGGCAGAAGAAUACCUAUCAGUAAAGAACAAACACCACUCCUGGCUUAGUCACGGAAUUCUGAGAAGCAGCAGCACCCAGUGAACCAACCUGCAGGCUGGCAAUCACGGGUGAGGCUACCUUUAGCCAAGGCUUGUGGCAGAACCACAUGAGGGAGGCUCUGCAAAUAGUAGCUGCUUCCUCAAACCACAGGACAACUUCUAUAUACAUUCCACCUGGAAAGGCCAGCUGAUCACACAUAUAGGCCUUUUCUGCUAUCCUAUCGCGUUAAAUUUACAAUCAUAAUUAUCAUGUCCCACCAUAAAGGAAUGUGAUAUAAUAAUAUCAGUUUGCCUUUAUCACUUUGCCUUUACUUAUGGUUUUAAUCUCUCUUCACCAACAUAUUAUAGCAUAUGCCUGAUUUUAUUCUUGUGGCAACCCUUUGAUGAUGGUAGAAAAAAAUACUUACCUCACAUGUAAGUAAAUUAAACCAAAGUACAUUAAGUAGUUUAUUCUGUACUUGUAAACAAAUUGUCCUUAGAAAAACAGUAUAUAUAGGGUUUAAUAUAAAUGAAAGUAACAUUUUAAGUGAAAAAGUAGCUUGGCAAGUAACUUGCUUUUAAAAUAGGUGAUUCAAAUCACUGUGUACUAUUCCAACAAAUGUAACUAUAAUAUUCUCAAAUGUGAUUUACAAUAUUUAAACAUAGGACCGGGAUAAAGAAUUGAGGAAAAUUGGUUUUUUUGUCUGUUUUGUUAUCAAAAACUCCCAAUCGAAAAAAAUGUUACAUUUCAGUAUGUGCCAACAAUUCUAAAAUACAUACUAAAGUCAAGUCUUGUUUCUUAUACAAUGCCAAAAAAUAAUAAUAAAUAAAAAGAGAGAGAGAGAAAGCAUCAUGCUAGUAAGUCCUGCCAAUUUAUCUGGCUUUUCUCUGGCUUUUCCAAUGCUUGCAGGGAAGGAGUGUUUUUUUAUUACAAGUUUCUCUGAGCCAAUUACUCUUUUCUAAAUUUUUCUCCCAUUUUUAAAACCCAUACUAAUUAAAAGAGGCAAAUUUGACUGACAAAGCCAUCAGGCAAAUCCUUGUCUUUCUUAUAUUUUUAGCCCAAGAUCUACAAUGCCUUCUACUUUGCCACAACCACAAAGUUCCCCCUGCCACAUCUUCAUUGACAACAGAUUAUAUUGUGAUCUAUUGAUUCCAGCCAUUGAAUGGACAAAAAUAACAAUAGCAUAAGAUGAUAUGAAUAAAUACAUAGAUGAUCACUGUAGCACUGGGAAGUCAGAAGAUAGUUAUAUGCCAACAUCCCACACAAAGACCACCACAAAAUGAAACACAAACUACCAAAGCUUAUUCAAGAAGAAGUAGAUUGCUGAUGUACCUUCAGAAUAAAUAAAUAAUCAAACAAACAAACAAUAAACAAGUGGCUAAUUUUAUAGCCCUAUUUAUAUUAAUGAAAUAAAGUCUCCAGGUUCAGAAGCCUUCAUUGAUGAAUUAUACCAAACAUUUCAUGGAAAAAUAAUAUCCACCCUACAUAAACUUAAAAAAAAAAUAAAUCGGAGAUGUGAGAACAUUUAACAACUUGUAUCAGGAGGCCAACAUUAUGUAGUCUGUCAUACCAAGGACAGGCAAGACAGAAGAGAAAAGUAUAAGCCAGCAUCUCUCAUUUUAAAAUUUUUUUUAAAUUUUAAGUUCUGGGGUACAUGUGCAGGACAUGCAGGUUUGUUACAUAGGUAAAUCUGUGCCAUGGUGGCUUGCUGCACCUAUCAACCCAUCACCUAGGUAUUAAGCCCCACAUGCAUUAGUCAUUUUUCCUGAUGCUCUUGCUCCCACCUCCCCCAUCACCCCUACAGGCCCCAGUGUGUGUUGUCCCCCUCCGUGUGUUCAUGUUUUCUCAUUGUUCACCUCCCACUUAUAAGUGAGAACAUGUGGUGUUUGAUUUUCUAUUCCUGCGUUAGUUUGCUGAGGAUAAUGGCUUCCAGCUCCAUCCAUGUCCCUGCAAAAGUCAUGAUCUCUUUCCUUUUAUGGCUGCAUAGUAUUCCAUGGUGUAUAUAUACCACAUUUUCUUUAUCCAGUCUAUCAUUGAUGGGCAUUUGGGUUGGUUCCAUGUCUUUGCUAUUGUGAAUAAUGCUGCAGUGAACAUAUGCAUGCAUGUAUCUUUAUGGAAUGAUUUAUAUUCCUUUGGGACCCAGUAACGGGAUUGCUGGGUCAAAUGGUAUUUCUGGUUCUAGGUCUUUGAGGAAUUGCCAUACUGUCUUCCACAAUGGUUGAACUAAUUUACAUUCCCACCAACAGUGUAAAAGCGUUCCUAUUUCUCCACAGCCUCGCCAGCAUCUGUUGUUUCUUGACUUUUUAAUAAUCACCAUUCUGACUGGCAUGAGAUGGUAUCUCAUUGUGGUUUUGAUUUGCAUUUCUCUAAUGAUCAGUGAUGUUGAGCUUUUUUCCAUAUGUUUGUUGGCUGCAUAAAUGUCUUCUUUUGAGAAGCAUCUGUUCAUGUCCUUUCCUCACUUUUUAAUGGAGUUGUUUGGUUUUUUUUCUUGUAAAUUUGUUUAAGUUCCUUGUAGAUUCUGGAUAUUAGGCCUUUGUGAGAUGGAUAGAUUGCAAAAAUUUUCUCCCAUUCUGAAGGUUUUCUCUUCACUCUGAAGAUAGUUUCUUUUGCUGUGCAGAAACUCUUUACUUUAAUUAGAUCCUGUUUGUCAAUUUUUGCUUUUGUUGCAAUUGCUUUUGAUAUUUUUGUCAUAAAAUCUUUGCCCAUGCCUAUGUCCUGAAUGGUAUUGUCUAGAUUUCUUCUAGAGUUCUUACAGUUUUGGGUUUUACAUUUAAGUCUUUAAUCCAUCUUGAGUUAAUUUUGUAUAAGGUGUAAGGAAGGAGUUCAGUUUCCAUUUUCUGCAUAUGGCUAGCCAAUUCUCCCAGCAUCAUUUAUUAAGUAGGGAGUCCUUUCCCCAUUGCUUGUUUUUGUCAGAUUCGAAGAAGAUCAGGUGCUUGUAGAUGUGCAGUCUUAUUUCUGAGUUCUCUAUUCCAUUCCACUGGUCUAUGUGUCUGUUUUUGCACCAGUACCAUGCUGUUUUGGUUAUCAUAGCCUUGUAGUAUAGUUUGAAGUUGGGUAGCAUUAUGCUUCCAGCUUUGCUCUUUUUGCUUAGGAUUGUCUUGGCUACAGGGGCUCUUUUUUUGGUUCCAUAUGAAUUUUAAAGUAGUUUUUUCUAACUCUGUGAAGAAUGUCAAUGGUAGUUUAAUGGGAAUAGCAUUGAAUCUAUAAAUUAUUUUGGGCAUUAUGGCCAUUUUCAUGAUAUUGAUUCUUCCUAUCCAUGAGUAUGGAGUGUUUUUGCAUUUGUUUGUGUCCUCUCUGAUUUCCUUGAGCAGUGGUUUGUAGUUCUCCUUGAAGAGGUCCUUCACUUUGCUUGUUAGCUGUACUCCUAGGUAUUUUAUUCUCUUUGUAGCAGUCGUGAAUGAGAGUUCAUUCAUGAUUUGGCUCUCUGCUUGUCUAUUGUUUGUGUCUAGGAAUGCUAGUGAUUUUUGCACAUUGAUUUUGUAUCCUGAGACUGCUGAAGUUGCUUAUUACCUUUAGAAGCUUUUGGGCUGAGAUGAUGGGGUUUUCUAGAUAUAGGAUCAUGUGAUCUGCCAAAAGAGAUAGUUUGACUUCCUCUCUUUCAAUUUGAAUACCUUUUAUUUCUUUCUCUUGCCUGAUUGCCCUGGCCAGAACUUCUAAUACUAUGUUGAAUAGGAAUGGUAAGAGAGGGCAUCUUUGUCUUGUGCAGGUUUUCAAGGGGAAUGCUUCCAGCUUUUGUACAUUCAGUAUGAUAUUGGCUGUGAGUGUGUCAUAAAUGGCCCUUAUUAUUUUGAGGUAUGUUCCGUCAAUACCUAGUUUAUUGAGAGUUUUUUAAAUGAAGGAUGUUGAAUUUUAUCAAAAGCCUUUUCUGUGUCUGUUGAGAUAAUCAUGUGGUUUUUGCCUUUAGUUCUGUUUAUGUGAUGAAUUAUGUUUAUUGAUUUGCAUACGUUGAACCAGCCUUGCAUCCUGGGAUGAAGCCAACUUGAUUGUGGUGGAUAAGUUUUUUGAUGUGCUGCUGGAUUUGGUUUGCCAUUAUUUUAUUGAGGAUUUUUGCAUCAAUGUUCAUCAGGGAUGUUGGCCUGAAGUUCUCUUUAGUUGUUGCAUCUCUGCCAGGUUUUGGUAUCAGAAUGAUGCUGGUCUCAUGAAAUGAGUUAGGGAGUAGUCCCUCCUUUUCAAUUGUUUGGAAUAGUUUCAGAAGAAAUGCUGCCAGCUCCUCUUUGUACGUCUGGUAGAAUUCAGCUGUAAAUCCAUCUGGUUCUGGGCUUUUUUUGGUUGGUAGGCUAUUUAUUUAUUUUUUUUUUAUUUUUUAUUUU